CUACGGGACGCUCCAGUAGGGAAUAUUGGACAAUGGGCGAAGGCCUGAUCCAGCAACACCGCGUGCACGAUGACGGCCUUCGGGUUGUAAAGUGCUUUUAGAGGAGAUGAGAAAGGACAGUAUCCUCUGAAUAAGCCUCGGCGAACUACGUGCCAGCAGCCGCGGUAAAACGUAGGAGGCAAGCGUUAUCCGGAUUUAUUGGGCGUAAAGCGCGUGCAGGCGGUCUAGCAAGUUGGAUGUGAAAGCUCCCGGCUCAACUGGGUGAGGUCGUUCAAUACUGUUAGACUAGAGAAUAGGAGAGGGAGGUGGAAUUCCGGGUGUAGUGGUGAAAUGCGUAGAUAUCCGGAGGAACACCAGUGGCGAAAGCGGCCUCCUGGACUAUUUCUGACGCUAAGACGCGAAAGCUAGGGUAGCAAACGGGAUUAGAUACCCCCGUAGUC
rnacentral:rRNA from 1 species